rnacentral:rRNA from 1 species
GACGAACGCUGGCGGCGUGCCUAAUACAUGCAAGUCGAGCGAGUCUGCCUUGAAGAUCGGAGUGCUUGCACUCUGUGAAACAAGAUACAGGCUAGCGGCGGACGGGUGAGUAACACGUGGGUAACCUGCCCAAGAGAUCGGGAUAACACCUGGAAACAGAUGCUAAUACCGGAUAACAACAGAUGAUGCCUAUCAACUGUUUAAAAGAUGGUUCUGCUAUCACUCUUGGAUGGACCUGCGGUGCAUUAGCUAGUUGGUAGGAUAACGGCCUACCAAGGCGAUGAUGCAUAGCCGAGUUGAGAGACUGAUCGGCCACAUUGGGACUGAGACACGGCCCAAACUCCUACGGGAGGCAGCAGUAGGGAAUCUUCCACAAUGGACGCAAGUCUGAUGGAGCAACGCCGCGUGAGUGAAGAAGGGUUUCGGCUCGUAAAGCUCUGUUGUUGGUGAAGAAGGACAGGGGUAGUAACUGACCUUUGUUUGACGGUAAUCAAUUAGAAAGUCACGGCUAACUACGUG